CGGGUACGGGGUGUUAGGGCACGACACCGGAGAGGGAGCCUGAGAAACGGCUACCACAUCCAAGGAUGGCAGCAGGCGCGCAAAUUACCCAAUCCCGACACGGGGAGGUAGUGACAAUAAAUAACAAUACGGGGUUCUUUAGGAUCUCGUAAUUGGAAUGAGUACAAUUUAAAUCUCUUAACGAGGAACAAUUGGAGGGCAAGUCUGGUGCCAGCAGCCGCGGUAAUUCCAGCUCCAAUAGCGUAUAUUAAAGUUGUUGCAGUUAAAAAGCUCGUAGUUGAAUUUCGGGGUUAGUAGGUUGGUCAUGCCUCUGGUAUGUACUGGUCUCACUGAUUCCUCCUUCCUGAUGAACCUUAAUGCCAUUAAUUUGGUGUUUUGGGGAAUUUGGACUGUUACUUUGAAAAAAUUAGAGUGUUUAAAGCAAGCUAACGCUUGAAUACAUUAGCAUGGAAUAAUGAAAUAGGACGUUCGAUCCUAUUUUGUUGGUUUCUAGGAUUGACGUAAUGAUUAAUAGGGAUAGUUGGGGGCAUUAGUAUUCAAUUGUCAGAGGUGAAAUUCUUGGAUUUAUUGAAGACUAACUACUGCGAAAGCAUUUGCCAAGGAUGUUUUCAUUAGUCAAGAACGAAAGUUAGGGAUCGAAGACGAUCAGAUACCGUCGUAGUCUUAACCAUAACUAUGCCGACUAGGGAUCGGAUGAUGUUAAUUUUUUAAUGACUCAUUCGCGCCUUACGGGAAACAAU
rnacentral:rRNA from 1 species